GCCAAGUUCAGGGAACACCUAUCCCAUUUCAGGUAUUUAAAGGGCAGGGAGCAGUGAAAAUCUCCUCUCUACCUCGAGCUCUACUCACAGACCACUGCAUGGGUGUUGAGGUUCUUGUAUUCCUGCUAGUGAUGACCCUCUACCACAGCCACCAAGUCUGCUCUGUCCAGAGCAUCAAGUGCCAGUGGUGACCACGCUCACAAUUCUUCACCCCACCAUAGCCAGAACAUUCUAGGGAGUUGCUGGCCUGUAUGAAGCUUGUUCCGUAAUCAUCUCAGAGCUCCCAAAAUAAAGAGUGAAGAUUCAAGAUGAAGUGGUUGCUAAAGAGGAGUCUACUCCAGUGUCUUCUCAUCAAGAGGAUGGAGCUAUCUAAUUGAUGCUUGGGUAGAGGGAUCUAGAACCUCUUCACUGCAACAAAGGUACUAGAUCUAUGCUGCUGUUGAUGGUGCUAAGUGUCGGUGGGCUCGGCGUUCUUAUAGGUUAAAGUAGCUCUUCUAUACUUCUUUAUGAGGAUGAUCACUUAAGCUAGCAUGUAUUUCAAACUUAUGAAAAUUAUACAUGCUUCAAAGUGAAAUACUUUGGAUUUACUUUAUAAUCACUCUGAUCUUGUAUAGUAUAAUCUUAAUGUAACUUGUAACUUUUUGUAAUAAAGAAAUUUCGCUACAA